rnacentral:rRNA from 1 species
GGUGACGGUACCUGCAGAAGAAGCGCCGGCUAACUACGUGCCAGCAGCCGCGGUAAUACGUAGGGCGCAAGCGUUAUCCGGAAUUAUUGGGCGUAAAGAGCUCGUAGGCGGUUUGUCGCGUCUGCCGUGAAAGUCCGGGGCUUAACUCCGGAUCUGCGGUGGGUACGGGCAGACUAGAGUGCAGUAGGGGAGACUGGAAUUCCUGGUGUAGCGGUGAAAUGCGCAGAUAUCAGGAGGAACACCGAUGGCGAAGGCAGGUCUCUGGGCUGUAACUGACGCUGAGGAGCGAAAGCAUGGGGAGCGAACAGGAUUAGAUACCCUGGUAGUCCAUGCCGUAAACGUUGGGCACUAGGUGUGGGGGACAUUCCACGUUUUCCGCGCCGUAGCUAACGCAUUAAGUGCCCCGCCUGGGGAGUACGGCCGCAAGGCUAAAACUCAA